rnacentral:ncRNA from 1 species
AAAAAUCUAAUGAUUGGAAGAGUAAAUAUAGAAUAGUUUAAGCGAGCUAGAGUUGGUGGAAGUCUAGCAACUAAACUAUAUUGAAAAGAGUCCAUGAAGAGAAAUGCUAAAAAUAUUUAUACAAUUAUGUAUAAAUACUAGUAAGUAUUUCCGGCGAUUGUCGUUAAAAUGAAGGAGUGGAAAUGAAUAAAUAUUCAAAUAUAUAUUCAUUUCAAUAAGAGUGGUAGCGCGAAAAUAACCUUUCGUCUCUUAA